UCAGAGACACAAUGGUUAGUUGGUAGUUCUAGUGGACUUAUAAGUGGUAUUGCUACUUUUAUAUUUACAAGUAGGUGGAAUAAUAGCAAUAAUAGUUUAUUUAUACUUGUAUAUUUUAAUACAAAUGUAGAGAUAGGAACAUACAUUAUAUACCAUCAUUAGCCCAUUUAGUUUUCAUCUUGGUGUCAAAAUUAUAACCUUUUAAUUAUAAAUGUGAAUGUAAAGAUUUAUAUUGUAAUGCAUAUCUGAAAAUACCAAUUUUAAUUAUUAAUUCACGUUUCAUAUCUAUCAUACAGGCUUCAGGCUUUCUCAUGUUUAAAGUGAAUAUUUGUCAAAAAAUAAACUACAUGUCUUUACUAUUUAAAGAAAUAAAAUAUUAUAUGCACAGAUGAAUAUGGGCGCAUUACGUUUUAUUUUCAUAAUAAAAAUCACAAUCUAUCAUCAAUUUUGAACAUAUUUGUUAAUUCAAUUUAUAUAUUAUCCAUUUUGAGCUAGCUACAUGUAGAUCUACUAUGCAUAUUUUUCACAUCCUAUCUAAUAAAAAUAAAUCUCUGCACUCGCUUAUUUUUAAUGCUUGAUGGCAGCGACAAAGUAAAAAUAAUGAGCGAGUGCACAGAUUUAAUUUUAAUUAGACUGUUACACAUCUUACUCGAAGACGUAUUUUCCAAGGCAAAUACGUACAUAUGUUAUAGAUUUGUAUUCAAUAUGCUUCUAUUUAUAUUUAUCCUUUUUGUGCUAAUGCGGCAUAAAGCAACCAACAAUCAAUCAAUCUAUUUAUCUUCCAGGUAGUGGACGGAAAAUGUUUCAUGCAUCAUUUCUAGGAUUUUUGGUUCCAUACAUUGGUUAUGGGUAGGUAGAAUAGAUUUUAUUAAAGAAGCACCACUUGUUUUUUUGUAAUAUUCAAAAAACUACUUUAAAACAAUAUGUUAAUUUUAUUUGAACUGAGAUUGUGAGAUUAUACAUAGACAAUUUUAGUUGUAAUGAAAAAGUUCGACAAAAAAGUCAUCAUUUUAGUUUAUAAUUGAUAUGAAAAUGAUUCUUUAUCCCUGACAAUUCUCUAUGUUGGUGAAAAAGCUAUAUUUCUUAAUUGCAAAAGUGUACAAUUGACAUAAACCAUCAACAAAAUUAUCUGGGUCUUACAUAUUUGAAAUUGAUGAAGGGAUGCUGAAUCAUAUCAAAUGACAUGAAACAGUUGUAUAACAGGACCACCUCCGGUGCAGUAUUUUCUUGCUGGGUUGAAGACCAAUUGGUGGCCAUCAGCUUUUGUCUGCUAUUUUGUCGGGGUUGUUGUCUCUUUGACAUAUUCCCCAUUUCAAGUCUCAAUUUUAUUAUAUUGGGUAUGCGGUUGUUUGACUUCCACUAGAAAAUAAGGUUAUGCUGCUCUAUAACAGUUUUCUUCAUGAGGAUCAGUUCAAUAUUGAUUAAACUGUAAAUUUGUUUUUAAAAUGUUAAAAUCAAUCUUGAUUAAGUUUAUCAAUAAAAUAAAAGAUUCACACAAUUAAAUCAGCUAUAAUUUCUGUUGUUCAUUUUACUGGCACAUUUCUGAAGUUAUAUUUCUAAAUUAUGUUUCUUUUUUUUUCAGAACUUAUUGCUGGUACACCACAUCAAAACAGCAGGCAUACAUAGACAAAAUAAAUGAAACAAUAUCAAAAAUUGACAAAGAUGAACCAAUAUAAACAUACUGUGCCAUUUCAAUAGUUGUGUGUAAUAGUUAUAUUGUAAUAUGAUGGGAUGUGAUCCUGAAACAUUACUUGCCUUGGAUGAGGAUGCAUUUUACAAACUCAUGUUAUUUCAUGUGUUCAUUGUUGAUGUGCCAAACUGUUGAUUUGUCAACUUUCAUCCCUAAAAACAUGAAUACACUUGUCUGACAAUUUUCAAUUUGAAAUACAAGAAGACUUUUGAGUUGAGUUUUUUGUAGAUUCAUUAUUGACUUAGGAUACGUUUAGAUCUCCAAAGUUUAUUGUAGAUAGCUUUAAUGGGUUUUUAUCAAGUCGCAGAUCGCUCGACAUAUGGAUAGUGAUCAGGCGGCUUUAGCUAACUUCUUAAAUACUUAAUGUUUCUGAAGGUACAAAAAGCCUGGAUCCUUCAAGUUAAUACUUUUUACAUAUAUGCUUAUGAUAUGAAGUUUUUGUCUGCCAUAUGUGAUCAUAUGUCCAUUUUCCUUCACUUCAUUUUCAUAGUUCAGUGACUAUUUGAAAAAAAAGUUAAGAUUUUAGUAUUCUUAAUUUUUCUCUUAA
rnacentral:lncRNA from 1 species